rnacentral:rRNA from 1 species
CACGGAGUUAGCCGGGCUUCUUUUCCAGGUACUGUCAUUAUCAUCCCUGGUGAAAGAGCCUUACGACCCUAAGGCCUUCAUCACUCACGCGGCAUCGCUAGAUCAGGCUUGCGCCCAUUGUCUAAGAUUCCCC